rnacentral:tRNA from 2 species
CUAAAACGGGAGCGGCGCUUCAGGAUAUUUUAAAUAUCCUAUCCCGGCGGUAUCCGGUAGCCACGGUGGUGCUGAUCCCCGCUUUAGU